AAGAGAGCUCUUUCAAGACAGU
rnacentral:miRNA from 1 species